rnacentral:rRNA from 1 species
UCCAGGAAGGCAGCAGGCGCGCAAAUUACCCACUCCCGGCACGGGGAGGUAGUGACGAAAAAUAACGAUACGGGACUCAUCCGAGGCCCCGUAAUCGGAAUGAGAACACUUUAAACCCUUUAACGAGUAUCCAUUGGAGGGCAAGUCUGGUGCCAGCAGCCGCGGUAAUUCCAGCUCCAAUAGCGUAUAUUAAAGUUGUUGCGGUUAAAAAGCUCGUAGUUGGACUUGUGUCCCACGCUGUCGGUUCACCGUUCGUCGGUGUCUAACUGGCAUGCCCGUGUGGACGUCCUGCCGGUGGAUGCGGUCGGCCGUGGUAAGCCCCUUCCCUCGGGCGUUCGCCCCUCCUCCCGUAACCUCCUCACGGAGGCCGGGUUGGAUGUGGGUGCUUCGUUCUGGGGUGUAUGUUGGGCCCCGCGUGUCGGCGGUCCGAUGCAAUCCUACCGCGGUGCUCUUCACCGAGUGUCGAGGUGGGCCGGCACGUUUACUUUGAACAAAUUAGAGUGCUCAAAGCAGGCAGUUGUUCGCCUGAAUAUUGUGUGCAUGGAAUAAUGGAAUAGGACCUCGGUUCUAUUUUGUUGGUUUUCGGAACCCGAGGUAAUGAUUAACAGGGACAGACGGGGGCAUUCGUAUUGCGACGUUAGAGGUGAAAUUCUUGGAUCGUCGCAAGACGAACCUAAGCGAAAGCAUUUGCCAUGGGUGUUUUCAUUAAUCAAGAACGAAAGUUAGAGGUUCGAAGGCGAUCAGAUACCGCCCUAGUUCUAACCAUAAACGAUGCCAGCUAGCGAUCCGCCNAAGUUCCUCCGAUGACUCGGCGGGCAGCUUCCGGGAAACCAAAGCUUUUGGGUUCCGGGGGAAGUAUGGUUGCAAAGCUGAAACUUAAAGGAAUUGACGGAAGGGCACCACCAGGAGUGGAGCCUGCGGCUUAAUUUGACUCAACACGGGAAACCUCACCAGGCCCGGACACCGGAAGGAUUGACAGAUUGAGAGCUCUUUCUUGAUUCGGUGGGUGGUGGUGCAUGGCCGUUCUUAGUUGGUGGAGCGAUUUGUCUGGUUAAUUC